CUUCCACACUUUUCCUCUCUUCGGGCCAGUCUGGGGAGAGGGUGGCUAGCUGUGGCGGCGGCCAAUUACGUGGCGGACCUGCGGGGCUAAGCUGGCACGUCACUUCCGACUAGUGGAGUUUUUAGCCUUUUAACAUUCAAGGAUUAGAGCUCCCUCUUUGCCCACUAGCAGGGCAUUAGCUGGUGCUGAAGACAGUGGCUGCUUGGCGAGCCUGGAUCUCCAAGUGACCCCCUCAGCAACUCCUGAUGAACAGGACUGAAGCCAAUAUUAAAGCAAGUCAACCAAAGGUUCUCUGGUGUAGACAAGACAGCAAAAGGACAGACUACCUUGUGGAACCUAGCAUUGUUCUCCUUCUGCAGCACUAAGUAACAUUUGUUCUCCGUUAAGAUCUUUGCAAACCACACACAAGAAUUGCUGGUCAUCCUGCCAAUAGAUGCUGCUCACAGAACCAAAUUUCCUGUGCUGAAUUGUCACUCAUGGGCUUGAGAGUAGGAGACUGGAGACCAAGGUGGCUAGAAUCCAGUUGGGCCUGAUGUCUCCCUGUUGAAAGGGCUCCUUGUGGAAUGAAUAGCACAUGGCUCCUGUGGUGGAUCUGAUAGUGGCAUAGCACCAAGUGAUGCAGGCCUGCCAGGGGCCACAGACACAGAAGAUGCUCCCGGGGUCCCCCAUGUACUCCAGACACACUGCAGGCCACCUCUCCCAGCAGGUUGCCAGUCAUGGGCCCCAUCAUCAUGACUUCUGUCCAAGGUACUGUGUGCAGAAAUGUGAUUGAGAUUCAAGUCAGGGCCUCUCUGCCCUUUUCCCUCCAGAAACAAAACCAAGAUAAUUUAUCCUGAACACGGUGAAAAAAGGAAGGGAGGGAGGAGAAAAAGUCCGGGUCUCACCUGGGAUUCUCUGUCUCCUGCAACAUGAAGGAUUUAGCCUGGGAGGAGGUGGUGAGAACUCUGGGAGAGAAAAAAGAAGGAAAGAAUAGUUUUACCCAUGCUGAAGUUAAUUUAAACCUUCACCUAGAGAAGCAAAAAAAAAAAACCCACACUUUCCCAUUUUGUGCCUCCCUUCCUAGAGUUUUAGCCAAAGGUUUAGCUAAGUAAUUGGUUUUACCAGCGCACUCACUCCUCCUAUCCCAAGUCUGUUUGACUCCCUCCCCAUCAUCCUCCUCACCUCUUUUCAGGCAGGGUGGGGAUAGCAGCAGGAGGAGAUUUUGGGAGCCUGGCAACUCCUGCAAGGACCGCAGGACAGCCCCUCUGUGGGGAUGCGUGGUGCCCCAUCUGCCGCCCUUCUGAAGAAUGCACUGCCUUCACUUUUUACUGUGUUAGAGUCCAUCCAGACUGUUCUAUCCAAAAAAGUUUCUUUUUCCCCCACAGGCAAUCAGGAAAUGAUUCCUUUCCCGACUGCUUCUGUCUAGUGCCUGGGAAUCUUGAGUCAAUCCCUCAGUAAGUCAGUGACUAGGGAAAUCCCUCUCUGAGCCUCCCAGUUCAUGUUGCUUAGGGAACCUGAUAUUUUCGUGAAACCUGCCUACACAUGGGCAGCCCAACAGCAGAACAAAUGGUGGUGACCAAAGUGAACAAAGAAGUAUAGUUGUGCCAGCUUCGUAGUUGCCCAUGUGGACAAGUCAGCAGGAUCAGGACACGAGGAAGAGUAAAUGUGAGACAGUCAAUGUGACUUCUGCGAUAAACAGAUUUUUAAACCCCGAAAUUUUGCAAAAUUUUGGUGAAACCUGAACUUUCUUCGUUGCAUAUACUGGCACUAUCUGUACCAUCAUACAACUGUCUCACAUUAAAGCUAUUUUUCUUGGGCACUGAUGAGUAAGGUUGGUAUAAGUUCCUCAGAUCAACAAAAACCCAUUUUCCUGUAAGUCUUACAUUUAGUAUUUAAGGAACUAAAACUUAAAUACAUUUUGUGAAAUGGUUGACACUUCACUGAUAAUGAUUUAUUGCUUGGAUUAAUAAAUUUUCCAAAAGUUGUCUUAUGUAGAAUAUGGUUUGCAACCAGCAGAACCAUUAAUCUAUACUGCAAUGAUAUGCACUAUGUAUAAUUGUUUAAAAGCCUCUACUUAAUGAUGUAAAAUGCUCUAUUUAAUUACACAUUUGGGUAAACUGUAUACUAACAUCUGAUGGCAUUUUUCCACUGUUUGUUGCUUUUUUCAAAUACUUUAUUGUACAAAGCUGUUCUUAAUAUUUUUCAAGUUUUUUUCUUUGAAUUUUGCUAAUGUUUUCCUUGAAUUAUGAGCACUGACAGAAUGUGCUUAGCACUUUUGGCUAUUCACACAGCUUUUGAGCAUGAUUUGCAUCCAAUAUUUACAUUGCUAGCAAUAAUAAGCCAUCUGUGAGUUUUGUCAAAAGUUAUUGGGGAUUUUUUAAAUUUUAGAAAUGCAAAUUAUUGUUUCUUUGAACUAACUCUUAUGCAGUUGCAAAGGCAUUUCCAGUUGUUAUAGUUUGUGUACAAUAUCAGGUGUUCCAGAUUAUGAUUCAUUAUUAAUAUCAUUGCUUCCUUGUUCCCUCUGAGGUCCAGAAGAUUCAUGUUUACAAUAUUUAGAAACAAUGUUAAAAAGGUAUCCAAAGUUUGUCACUUUAUUAUUAGUUUGUUCUUAAUAUUCUGUUUAAGUUUUUGAAUUCAUAGAUAUCAAAACGCUGCACAAUUAUGAUUUCCACAGGAAUAACAACACACUAACAAUAAGAACCAAAAACAGCAAAUAGGCUGCCUACAAGUUUUGACAAUAUUAGGAUAAUGAUAAUGACAGUUUUUCUAAAUCUCACAGUAAAGAAUGCAGCAACCCAGCAACACUGCUACCUGUGGCCUCAGGCUGCAGUGUCAGCUCUUCCCUGGGUCUCCAGCCUGCCAGUCUAACCUGAAAAUUAUGUACUUGCCAGCCCCCACAGUCACGUGAGUGAACUGGCCCAGGCUGGUCACCAGGGUCAGUUUCUCUGUGUGUCAUUAAUUCAUUCAGUCUUCAGCAGUCUCUUUGGAGCUGAGAUGUACCUACCAUCUGCCUUUUGGGUGCUUAGGGUGGAGAACCAGAAAAGUAUAACCUAGUGUGUAUCCUCAAAGAGCUAACAAUAUGGGGUGGUACCUAUAGGUCUGGAAACACUUUACUGACUCUGUGAGGCAUACCAGGAGACGUCAGAGAACAGUCCCUCCUCAAAUGCCAAAUGAGAUGCAGAAGAAAUAGUUUGCUCAAGUUCAUGGGCCAGAUAUCCCAGUGGUCAGGGAGUUUCAUGAAUGAGAUGGAACUUUGCAUGGAACCCGAGGGAUGUGUAUGAUUUGAGUAGAUGAAGAAAAUGAGACUUUCCAAGCAGCUAGAAGUUAGGGAGCAGCAAGAUGUGUGGUGGGAUUGAGCACAGUUGGUUCAGAGGAUAGACUGCAGUUUUAAUAAUUUGUAGUAAAUAUCUCCCAACUGUUUGGCACUAUUGGAGCAAGUUCUUGAAUGCCAAAUGAAGGCAUAAAUCAGUAAGAGGCAUAAUAAAAGGCUGAGCAGUGCUUGGCUUUUUACGAACUGAUCCUGAUAGGAGCAGCUGUUCAACAAAGUUGCCAGGUCACCGUUACAUAGUCCCUGCCUUCUAGGGGCUCACUGCCUACUGGGAGAGACAGUCUGAAAGUUGGUGGAGCAUGUAACUGUUGGAUGAGGAGUUUGAGCCUGUGGACUGUGGGACCCCCGAGGAGGGUGUGGCUACUCUAGGCAGAACAAUCCCACAGUUUAUUUAUAUUUAACCUUGAAAUUCAUUAGAGGAUUUUUCAGCAGAGGUUUGGUACUUGUUAAUGUUAAGGUUUGCAUUCUCUAGAACCUCAAGGAAAGCUGUACCGUGCAUAAUGUACCCUCUUAUGUUAAUGUUGUGUACUGUGAUCCUGUUUCAGGGACUUGCACUUAGGAAUCUGUUACAGUGAGCACAGAAGCAGACCUGUGGGCUCAUAGUCUUCACCCCCCACCCAUAUAUACAAGAUGAACAGAGUGGAGGUUAAACAACUUGACUAAACAACACAGUUCAUGGUAAAGCCCAAGACUGUACCUGCCCAUCCACUGCCUUUUCCAUGUAUCCUGGAACUGAGCAUAGACCUCUUCCCAGGCAGAGCUGACAGCAAGUAAAGGAGAUCAUAAUCAGGGGACCAAACAACUUUGUCUAAAGUGUGAAUGUCACCUAAGGAGAAGCUGUGAGAUCAGAAGGGUGGGGCAGAGGAGCAGACACCAUGAGGGAGAGUCCUUGGGGGUACAUCUGCCAGACUGACACUGUCUGGCCUGGGCAGUGGAGGGGCUAGCAGGAACCACAGGUACUGGUGGUGUGGCUACUACCGUUACAACUGCCUGUGCUUGGACAUGGACCCUCUGCAAUAUGCGGCAGUUUCAUUCAUUGCCCCCUACAUUCUACACCAAGUAGAAAUGGAAGGCAAUUGGAUACUUCACAGACAAGAUCUAAGUGGAGAAGGAAUGCGUCCUGUGGCUGCAGAGAUCCUUGGAGCUUGGAGGGGAGAGCUUGAGCCCCACUGAUGAUGACCUCCCACAGCUCGCCAACUCAGCCCUCCCUAAGUCCCCAUCGGGGGCCAAUUCUCACUCUGGGGUUGGGGGGACUCCACCAUAGCUCAUCCAUCAUAGGGAUGUUGGUAUCUACUGUGGGUUGGGUAGGGCCGAUGUGCUGAGGAUGGCUCCCCCACAAGCAAGAGAUGUGGAUUUGGGGAGCUUCCCAUCUUGUGUUGAAGGAACAUAACUCAGAAUAAUAAGAGCCAACUAUAACAAACCCACAGCCAACAUCAUACUGAAUGGGCAAAAGCUGCAGGCAUUCCCCUUGAAAAGUGGCACAGGAUAAGGAAGCCCUUUCUCACCACUCCUAUUCAAUAUAGUGUUGAAAGUCCUGAUCACAGCAGUCAGGCAACAGAAAUAAUAAAGGGCAUCCAAAUAGGAAGAGAGGAAGUCAAACUAUCCUUGUUUGCAGACAGUAUGAUUCUAUAUCUAGAAAACCCCAUAGCCUCAGCCCAAAAGGUCCUUCAUCUGAUAAUUUCAGCAAAGUUUCAGGAGACAAAAUCAGUGUACAAAAAUCACUAACAUUCCUAUACACAGUCGCCAAGCCAAGAGCCAAAUCAGGAGCACAAUCCCAUUCAUAAUUGCCACAAAAAAGAAUAAAAUACCCAGGAAUGCAGCUAACCAAGGAAGUAAAGGAUCUCUACAAUGAGAAUCACAAACGCUGCUCAAAGAAAUCAGAGAUGACACAAACAAAUGGAAAAACUUUCCAUGCUCAUGGCUAGGAAGAAUCAAUAUCAUUAAAGUGGCCAUACUACCCAAAGCAAUUUAUAGAUUCAAUGCUAUUCCUAUCAAACUAUCAAUUACAUUUUUCACAGAACUAGAAAAAACUUAAAAUUCAUAUGGAACCAAAAAGCCUGAGUAGUCAAGGCAAUCCUAAACAAAAAGAACAAAGGUGGAGGCAUCACAUUACCUAACUUCAAACUACAGGGCUACCAUGACCAAAACAGCAUGGUACUGGUACAAAAGCAGACACACAGACCAGUGGGACAGAAUAGAGAGCCCAAAAAUAAGGCCACAAACCUACAGCCAUCUGAUCUUCAACAAAGUUGACAAAAACAAGCAAUGGGGAAAGGUCUCCCUAUUCAAUAAAUGGUGCUGGGAUAACUGGCUGGCCAUAUGCAGAAGAUCGUAACUGGACCCCUUUUACUAUGUACAAAAAUUAAGAUGGUUUAAAGAGUUAAAACCCAAAAUUAUAAAAAUCCUGAAGAUAACUUAGGCAAUACCAUUCUGGACAUAGGAACUGGCAAAUAUUUCAUGAUGAAGACACCAAAAGCAAUUGUAACAAAAGCAAAAAUGGACAAAUUGGAUUUAAGAGCUUUUUCAUAGCAAAAUAAACAACAGGGCAGACAAUCUACCAAAUGACAGAAAAUUUUUGCAAACUAUGCAUCUGACAAGGGGCUAAUAUCUAGCAUCUAUAAGGAAUUUAAACACAGUUACAGGAAAAAAAAAACCCACUCCAUUAAAAAAUGGGCAAAGGACAUGAACAGACACUUUUCAAAAAAGACAUACAUACAGCCAACUAGCGUGUUAAAGAAAACCUCAAUUAUCACUGAUCAUUAGAGAAAUGCAAAAUCAAAACCAUGAUGAGAUAUCAUCUGCCAGUCAGGAUGGCUACAAAAAAGUAAAAAAAUAAUAGAUGUUGGUGAGGUUAUGGAGAAAAGGAACUUAUACACUUGUUAGGAGUGUAAAUUAGUUCAAUCACUGUGGACAGCAGUGUGGUGAUUCCUCAGAGAGCUAAAAACAACUACCAUUUGACUCACCAAUCCCAUUACUGGAUAUUUACCUAAAGGAAUAUAAAUCAUUCCACCAUAAAGACACAUGCAAGUGUAUGUUCAUUGCAGCACUAUUAACAGUAACAAAGCUGGGCACAGUGGCUCACCUCACGACUGUAAUCCCAGCACUUUGGGAGGCUGAGGUAGGCGGAUCACCUGAGGUCGGCAGUUUGAGACCAGCCUGACCAACAUGGAGAGACCCCAUCUCUACUAAAAAUACAAAAUUAGCCAGGUGUGGUGGCUCAUGCCUGUAAUCCCAGCUACUUGGGAGGCCAAGGCAGGAGAAUUGCUUGAACCCAGGAGGCAGAGGUUGCAGUGAGCCGAGAUCACACCAUUGCACUCUAGCCUGGUGAAGGAGCAAGACUCCAUCUCAAAAAAAAAAAAAAAAAAGAAAGAAAGAAAAAUACACAUUCAGAGGAGACAAAAAAUAAAAAACAAUGAUGCAUGCCCACAGGAUCUAGAAAAUAACUUCUUAAGGGCAAAUCUAGGAGUUAUUGGCCUUAAAGAAGAGAUAGAGAAAGAGAUAGGAAUAGAAAGUUUGUUGAAAGGGAUAAUAACAUAGAACUUCCUAAACCUACAGAAAGAUAUUUAUAUCCAAGUACAAGAAGGUUAUAGAACACCAGGCCAAUUUAACCCAAAGAUUACCUCAAGGCAUUUAAUAAUCAAACUCCCACAGGACAAGGGUAAAGAAAGGAUCCUAAAAGCAGCAAGAGAAAAGAAACAGAUAACAUACAAUGGAGCUCCAAUACAUCUGGCAGUAUAUUUUUCAGUGGAAACCUUACAAGCCAGGAGAGAGUGACAUGACAUAUGUUAAAGUGCUGAAGGGAAAAAACCUUUUACCCUAGAAUAGUAUAUCCAGCAAAAAUAUCCUUCAAACAUGAAGAAUAAACAAAGACUUCCCCAGACAAACAAAAGCUGAGGGAUUUCAUCAACACUAGACUGGUCCCAUAAGAAACGCUUAAGGGAGUACUUUGGUCAGAAAGAAACAGACAUUAAUGAGCAACAAAGAAUCAUCUAAAGGUAAAAAACUCACUGUUAAGAGUAAGUACACAGAAAAACCCAAAGUGUGAUAACAUUGUAACUGUGGUGUGUAAGUAGAAAGAAUAAAUGAUAAACCAAUCAAAAAUAGUAACUACAACUUUUCAAGACCAGUCAGAAAAAUAAGAUAAAAUUAGAAACAACAAAAAGUUAAAAAGUGGGGGGAUGAAGUUAAGAUGUAGAGUUUUUAUUAGUUUUUUGUUUGUUAAUGCAAACAGUGUUACCAGGUUAAAAUAAUGGGUUACAAAAUAGUAUUUGUAAUCCUUAUGGUAACCUCAAACCUAAAAACAUACACUGGAUACAUAAAAAAUAAAAAGCAAAAACCUAAAUCAUAUCACCAGAGCAAACUACCUUCCCUAAAGGAAGACAGGAAGAAAAGAAAGAAGAAGACCACAAAACAACCAGAAAACAAAUAAAUAACAAGGCAGGAGUAAGUCUUUACUUAUCGAUAAUACAUUGAAUGGAAAUAUGGACUAAACUCUCCAAUCAAAAGACAUAGACUGGCUGAAUGAAUGGAGAAAACAAGACCCAUUGAUCUGUUGCCUACAAGAAACACACUUAAACUAUAAAGACACACAUAGGCUGAAAGUAAAGAGUUGGAAAGAGUUAUUCCAUGCCAAUGGAAACCAGGAAAAAGAGAAGGAGUAUUGAUUUUGAUACAAAAACUAUGAGACAAAUAAAGUCACUAUACAAUGAUAAAGGGGUUAAUAUGGUUUCCAUUUGUGCCCCACCCAAAUUUCGUGUUCUAUUGUAAUCCUCAAUGUUGGAGGUGGGGCCUGGUGGGACGUGAUUAGAUCAUGGGGGUGGAUCUUUCAUGACUAAUUCAGCACCAUCUUCUUAGUGCUGUUCUCAUGAUAGUGAGUUCUUCUGAAAUCUGGUUGCUUAAAAGUGUGUAGCACCUCUCCACACCACCCGCUUGCCUUGGUCUACUCCUGCUAUGUAGAUGCUUGCUCCCACUUUGCAUUAUUCCAUGAGUAAAAGCUCCCUCAGGCCUUCCCAGAAUCAGAUGCCGCUAUGCUUCCUGAACAGCCUGUGGAACUAUGAGCCAAUUCAACCUCUUUUCUUCAUAAAUUAACAAGUCUUGGGUAUUUCUUUAUAGCAGUGUGAGAACAGAAUAAUACAGAAAAUUGGUAAAGAGGAGUGAGGCAUUGCUAGAAAGAUACCUGAAAAUGUGGAAACAGCAGUGGAACUGGGAAAUAGACAGAGGUUGGAAGAGUGUGGAGGGCUCCGAAGAUAGGAAGAUGAGGGGAAGUUUGGAAUUUCUUAGAGAUUUGUUAAAUUGUUUUGACCAAAAUACUGAUGGUGAUAUGGACAAUGAAGUCCAGGCUGAGGAGGUCUCAGAUGGAGAUGAGGGACUUAUUGGGACCUGGAGUGAAGGUCACUUUUGUUAGGACAUUGUGGUUGGAGACAUUGUGCCCCUGCCCUAGGAAUCUGUGGAACUUUGAACUUGAGAGCGAAGAUUUAGGGUAUCUGGCAGAAGAAAUUUCUAAGCAGCAAAGCGUUCAAGACGUGGCCUGGCUGCUUCUGGUAGUCUGUGCUCAUAUUUGUGAGCAAAGACAUGACAAGAAACUGGAACUUAUAUUUAAAAAGGAAGCAGAGUGUAAAAGUUUGGAGAAUUUGCAGCCUGGCCAUGUUGUAGAAAAGAAAAAAACCAUUUUCUGGAGAGGAAUUCAAGCUAGCUGCAGAAAAUUGCAAGUAACAAGGAGCAAAAUGUUGAUAGCCAAGAUAGUGGGAAAAACACCUUGAAGGCAUUUCAGAUACCUUGGGGGCAGCCUCUCCCAUCACAGGCCCAAAGGCCUAGGAGGGAAGGAUGGUUUCCUGGGCCAGGCUCAGGGUCCUGCUGCCCUGCACAACCUCAGGAAACUGCUCUCCAAAUCCCAGCUGCUCCAGCUCCAGCUUCAGCUCAAAGGGCCCCAGGUAUAGCUCAGGCUGCUGCUCCAUAGGAUGCAAGUUAUAAGCCUUAGUGGCUCCCGUGUGGUGUUAAAUUAAGCCUGUAGGUGCACAGAGUGCAAGAAUUGAGGCUUGGGAGCCUCCAACUAGAUUUCAGAGUAUGUGUGGGAAAGCCUGGAUGUCCAGGCAGAAGCCAGCUGCAGGGACAGAGCCCUCAUGGAGAACCUCUACUAGGGUAGUGUGGAGGGGAAAUUUGGGGUUGGAGUUCCCACACAGCUUCCCCUCUGGUGUACUGCCUAGUGGAGCUGUGAGAAGACAGCCACUGUCCUCCAGAUUCCAGGAUGAUAGAUCUGCCAAUGACAGCUUGCACUGUACAACUGGAAAAGCCACAGGCAGUCAAUGCCAGCCCGUGAAAGCAGUGACAGUGGCUUACCCUGCAAAGUCCCAGGGGCUGAGCUGCCCAAGGCCUUGGGAGCCCACCCCUUGCACCAGUGUGCCCUGGAUGUGAGAUAUGGAGUCAAAGGAGAGUAUUUUGGAGCUUUAAGAUUUAAUGACUACCUGCUGGGUUUCAGACUUGCAUGGGUCCAGUAGCCCCUUUCUUUUGGCCAAUUUCUCACUUUUGGAAUGGGAGUGUUUACCCAAUUCCUGUACCCCCACUGUAUGUUGGAAGUAACUAACUGUUUUUUUAUUUUGUAAGCUCACAGGUGGGAGAGACUUGCCUUGUCUCAGGUUGAGACUCUGGACUUUGGACUUUUGAAUUAAUGCUGGAAUGAGUUAAGACUUUGAGGGACUGUUGGGAAGAUAUAACUGUAUUUUGCAGUAUGAGAAGGACAUGAGAUUUGGGAGACACCAGAGGUGGAAUAAUAUGAUUUGGAUCUGCAUCCCCACCAAAAUCUCAUGUUCAAUUGUAAUCCUAAAUUUUGGAGGUUGAGCCUGGUGGAAGAGGAUUGGAUAAUGGGGGUGGUUUCUCAUGGUUUAACACCAUCCCCCUGGGUGCUGUUCUCAUGACAGUGAGUGAGUUAUUGUGAGAUCUGAUUGUUUAAAAGUGUGUGCCACCUCCUCCCACUUUCCUCCUGCUCCAGCCAUGUAAGACAGGCUUGCCUCCCCUUCACCUUUUGUCAUGAUUGUAAGUGUUCUGAGGCCUCCCCAGCCAUGCUUCCUGUACAGCCUGCAGAACUGUGAGCCAAUUAAACCUCUUUUCUCUAUAUAUUACCCAGUCUCGGGUAUUUCUUUAUAGCAGUGCAAGAAUAGACUAAUACAGGGUUCAAUUCAGCAAGAGGAUAUAACAAAUAUAAAUAUAUAUGCACUCAACACUGCAGCACCCAGAUAUAUAAAGCAAAUACGAUUAGAGCUAAAGAGAGAGAGUGACCCCAAUACAAUAAUAGCUGGAGACUUCAACACCACAUUUUCAGCACUGGACAGAUCUUCCAGACAGAAAAUAAAAAAGAAACAUCAGACUUAAUCUGCACUGUAGAUCAAAUGGAUCUAAUACAUACUUGCAGAACAUUUUAUCCAAUGGCUGCAGAAUACACAUUCUUUUUUAGCACAUGUAUCAUUCUCAAGGAUAGACCAUAUGUUAGGUCACAAGUCUUAAAACAUUAAAAAAGUUGAAUACCAUCAAGCAUCUUCUCUGACCACAGUGGAAUACAACUAGAAACUAAUAACAAGAGGAAUUUUUGAAACUACAAAUACAUGAAAAUUAAACAAUAUGCUCCUGAAUGACCAUUGAGUCAAUGAAGAAAUUAAGAAGGAAAUUGAACAAUUUCUUGAAACAAAUGAUAAAGGAAACACAACAUACCAAAACCUAUGGGAUACGGCAAAAGCAGUACUAAGAGGCAAAUUGAUAGCUAUAAGUGCCUACAUGAAAAAAGAGGAAAAACUUCAAAUAAGCAAUUUAACAAUGAACCUUAACCAGAAAAGCAAGAGCAAAACAAACACAAAAUUAGAAGAAAACAAAUAAUAAAAAUUAGAGCAUAAAUAAAUAAAAUUGAAAUAAAAAUCAAUGCAAAAGAACAAUGAAACAAAAAGUUGCUUUUUUUCAAAAGUUAAACAAAACUGACAAGCCUUUAGCAAGACUGAGAAAAAAGAGACAAGAUACAAAUCAGAAAUGAAAAAGACAUUACAACUGACACUGCAGAAAUUCAAAGGAUCAUUAGGGGCUACUAUGAGCAACUCUAUGCCAAUAAAUUGGAAAAUCUAGAAGAAAUUGACAAUUCCUAGACACAUACAACCUACUGAGACUGGACCAGGAAGAAAUCCAAAACCUGAACAGACUAAUAACAAGUAACAAGGUUGAAGCCAUAAUAAAAAGUCUCCCACUAAAGAAAACCAAGGACCCGAUGGCUUCACUGUUGAAUUCUACCAAACAUUUAAAGAAGAACUAAUACCAAUCCCACUCAAGCUAUUGAAAAAUAGAGGAGGAGAGAAUAUUUCCAAAGUCAUUCUAGGAGACCAGUAUCACCCUGAUACCAAAACCAGACAAAGACACAUCAAAAAAAGAAAACUGCUGGCCAAUUUCUCUGAUGAAUAUUGAUGCCAGAAUCCUCAGCAAAAUAUUAGCAAACUAAAUUCAACAAUACAUUAAAAAGAUCAUUCAUCAGGGUCGGGUGCAGUGGCUUAAGCCUCUAAUCCCAGCACUUUGGGAGGCCGAGGUGGGCAGAUCACCUGAGGUCAGGAGUUCAAGACCAGCCUGACCAACAUGGUGAAACCUCGUCUCUACUGAAAAUACAAAAUUAGCCGAGUGUGGUGGUGCAUGCCUGUAAUCCCAGCUACUCAGGAGACUGAGGCAGGAGAAUCACUUGAACCCAGGAGGUGGAGGUUGCAGUGAGCUGAGAUUGUGGCACUGCACUCCAGCCUUGGUGACAGAGUGAGACUCCAUUAAAAAAAAAAUCAUUUAUCAUGACCAAGUGGGAUUUAUCCCUGGAAUGCAAGGAUGGUUCAACACAUGCAAAUCAAUCAAUGUAAUACAUCAUAUCAAAAAGAAUGAUUAAAACCAUAUGAUUAUUUCUAUUGAUGCUGAAAAAGUAGUUUAUAAAAUCCAACAUCCCUUCAUGAUAAAAACCCUCAAAAAACUGUAUAAAAGAAAUAUACCUCAACGUAAUAGCCAGAUAUGACAGACCCACAGCUAGUAUCAUACUGAAUGGGGAAAAAGUGAAAGACUUUCCUAUAAGAUCUGGAACACAACAGGGAUGUUCACUGUCACCACUGUUAUUCAACAAAGUACUGGAUGUUCUAGCUAGAGCGAUCAGACAAGAGAAGAUAUAAAGGCCAUCCAAACUGGAAAGGGAGAAGUUAAAUUACCCUAGUUUGCAGAUGAUAUGAACUUAUAUUUGGAAAAAACCUAAAGGCUCCACAGGAAAACUAUUAGAAUCAAUAAAUUCAGUAAAGUUGCAGGACACAAAAUCAACAUAUAAAAACCAGUAGCAUUUCUAUAUGUCAACAGUGAACAAUUUGAAAAAUUUUAAAUUUAAGAAGGUAAUUUCAUUUACAAUAGCCACACAUAAAAUUAAAUACCUAGGAAUUAACCAAAAAUGUGCAAGAUAUCUAUGAGGAGAAUUAUAAAACAUUGAUGAAAGAAAUUGAAGAGGACACAAAAAAAAUGGAAAAAAUUCCAUCUUUAUGGAUUGGAAGAAUCAAUAUUGUUAAAAUGUCCAUACUACCCAAAGCAAUCUACAGAUUUAAUGCAAUCCCUAUCAAAAUACCAAUAAUAGUCUUCAGAGAAAUAGAAAAAAAAAUCCCAAAAUUUAUAUGAAAACACAGAAUGCCCAGAAUAGCCAAAAUUAUAUUAAGCAAAAAGAUCAAAACUGGAGGAAUCACAUUACCUGACUUCAAAUUAUGCUACAGAGCUAUAAUCACCAAAACAGCAUGGUACUGACAUAAAAACAGACACAUAGUCCAACAGAACAGAAUAGAGAACCUAGAAACAAAUCCACACACUCACAGGGAACUCAUUUUUGACAGAGUUGCCAAGUACUUAUACUGGAGAAAAGAAAAGACAGUCUCUUCAAUGAAAUGGUGCUGGGAAAACUGGAUAUCCAUAUGCAGAAGAAUGAAACUAGACCCCUACCUCUCACUGUAGACAAAAGUCAAAUCAAGGCUAGGCAUGGUGGCUUACACCUGUAAUCUCAGCACUUUGGGAGGCUGAGGCAGGCGUAUCACGAGGUGAAGAGAUUGAGACCAUCCUGACCAACAUGGUGAAACUCACCCCCCCCCACCCACUAAAAAUACAAAAAUUAGCUGGGCGUGAUGGCAUGUGCCUGCAGUCCUAGCUACUCAGGAGGCUGGGGCAGGAGAAUCGCUUGAACCCAGGAGGUGGAGGUUGCAGUGAGCUGAGAUUGUGCCACUGCACUCCAGCCUGGCGACAGAGCAAGACUCCAUCUCAAAAAAUAAAAAAUAAAUUCAAAAUGUAAUAAAGACUUAAAUCUAAGACCUCAAACAUGAAACUACUAUAAGAAAACAUUGGGGAAAACCUCCAGGACAGUAGUCUGGCCAAAAAUUUCUUGAGCAAUACCCCACAAGCACAGGCAACCAAAAUAAAACUGGACAAAUAGUAUCACAUCAAGUUUAAAAGCUUCUACAAAGCAAAGGAUACAAUCAAUAAAGAGACAACCCACAGAAUGGGAGAAAAUAUUUGCAAACUACCCAUCUGACAAAGAAAUAAUAACCAGAGUAUAUAAGAAGCUCAAACAACUCUAUAGUAAAAAAAAAAAAAAAAAAAAUUCUAAAAGUCUAAGUAAAAAAAUGGGCAAAAGAUUUGAAUAGACAUUUCUCAAAAGAAGACAUACAGGCCAUGCGUGGUGGCUCAUGCCUGUAAUCCCAGCACUUUGGGAGGCCCAGGCGGGUGGAUCACUUGAGGUCAGGAGUUCGAGACCAGCCUGACCAACAUUGUGAAACUCCGUCUCUACUAAAAAUACAAAAAUAAGCCAGGCAUGGUGGCGCACACCUGUAAUCCCAGCUACUCAGGAGGCUGAGGCAGGAGAAUCGCUUAAACCUGGGAGACAGAGGUUGCAGUAAGCCGAGAUCACACCACUGCACUCCAGCCUGGGCAACAAAGUGAGACUCCGUCUCACAAAAAAAAAAAAAAAAAAAAAAAAAAAAGAAAAGAAAAAGGAAGAAGACAUACAAAGCCAGGUACAGUGGCUUAUGCCUCUAAUCCUAGCACUUUAGGAGGCCAAGGCAGAUGGAAUUGAGCCCAGAAGUUUGAGACCAGACUGAGCAAUAUGGUCAAACCCCAAUUCUGCAAAAUACAAAAAUAAAAAAUAGCUGGGAGUGGUGGUGCACACCUGUAGUCCCAGCUACUUAGGAAGCUGAGAUGGGAGGAUCACUUGAGCCUGCAGUGAAUCAUAAUUGCACCAAUGCACUCCAGCCUGGGCGACAGAGUGAGAGACAUUGUCUCAAAAAAAAGAAAAAGAAAAAAAAGAAAGGACAUAAAAAUGACAAACAGGCAUAUGAAAAGGUGCUGAUGAUUAUUGAUCCUCAGAGAAAUGCAAAUCAAAACUGCAAUGAGAUAUAAUCUCACCCCAGUUAAAAUGGCUUAUAUCCAAAAGACAGGCAAUAACAAAUGCUGGUGAGGAUGUGGAUAAAAGGGAACCCUCGUACACUGUUGAUGGGAAUGUAAAUUAGUACAACCACUAUGGAUAACAGUUUAGAGGUUCCUCAGAAAACUAAAAAUUGAGUUGCGAUAUGAUGCAACAAUCCUACUGCUGGGUAUAUACCCCACAAAAGACAAAACCAGCGUUUUGCAUGGUGGCUCACACCUGUAAUCCCAGCACUAUGGGAGGCCGAGGAGGGCAGAUCACUUGAGCCCAGAAGUUCAAGACCAGCCCGAGCAACAUGGCAAAACCUGAUUUCUACAAAAUACAAAAAAAAAAUUAGGCAGUUGUAGUGGUUCACACCUAUAGUCCUAGCUACUGUGGAGGCUGAGGUAGGAUCACUUGAACCUAGGAGGUGGAGGUUGCAGUGAGCCAAGAUCAUGCCACUGCACUCCAGCCUGGGUGACAAAGUGUGACCCUGUCUCAAAAAAGAAAAUCAGUAUAUGGAAGAGGUAUCUGCACUCCUAUGUUUUUUACAACACUGUUUACAAUAGCUAAGAUUUGGAAGCAACCUAAAUGUCUAACAGCAGAUGAAUGGAUAAGGAAAAUUUGGUAUGUAUACACAAUGAAGUACUAUUCAGCCAUAAAAAGGAAUGAGAUCCAGUCAUUUGCAACAGCAUGGAUGGAAGUGGAGAUCAUUAUGUUAAAUGAAAUAAGCCAGGCACAGAAAGGCAAACAUGGCAUGUUCUCACUUAUUUGUGGGACCUAAAUUCAAAACAAUUGAACUAAUGGACAUAAAGAGUAGAAGAAUGGUUACCAGAGGCUAGGAAUGGUAGUGGGGGGCUGAAGGGAAGGUGGGGAUGUUUAAUCGGUAAAAAAAAAUUUAGAAGAAUAAGACCUACUAUUUGAUAGCACAAUAGGGGGACUAUAGUCAAUAAUGCACAUUUAAAAAUAGUGUAAUUGAAUGGUUUGUAACUCAAAGGAUAAAUGCUUGAGGGAAUGGAUACCCCAUUCUCCAUGAUGUGCUUAUUUCACAUUGCAUACCUGUAUCAAAACAUCUCAUGUACCCCAUAAAUAUAUGCAGCUAUUAUGUACC
rnacentral:lncRNA from 1 species